GCAUCAUUCUGCAGAAGCUAUCUGGUCUGAGCUUCCAUGGCAGUCAUCCCAUCAAUAUGAUUAAUCUUCCACCCCAAGUUGUGGUGACGGUGGAUUCUCUGACGUAAGGCCAAAUGUGAAAAUGAAACUUGUUAAUUUGCAGGUCCUUCAAUAUUUCUAUAUCAAUUCAAGUUUUGUUUCCAAAGGACCAAUACAUAAAUUACUUAAUAACAUAGUGAUGAGUUUUGACAGUGCUUCUGACAUUGAGCAGCAAAGUAGAUCUCAGAUAUAUCCACUGUUUUUGUUUAACCUAAACUGCCCAAGAUCUGUACAUGAUUUGACUUCUGGAGCCUUCAAAGACCUCUGUGGAAUAUAAGGUGAGAUUUUGUGUUGGCGUUUAUAAUUUAGUUGUUUGGGGUUUGGGAAAUGAGUCGGAGUCUUUGGAUUUAUUUUUGUAGAAUUGAGUUUGUUCUCUCAUUGCACAAAAACUUCAUGCUAGCGCAAACCUAACUUUUACAUCUAGUACUUUUUCAACCACCAUCAAGAAUACUCUUAGUUAUAAGCCUCAGAUAACCAAUCCAGAUAUUAUUCAAUUCCAAAGCAGAGUUAAUAUUCCCUUCUCAUGUAGCUGUGUUGAUGGGAAAUUCAUGGGCCAUCAGUUUGGUGUGCAGGUCAACUAUUACUACUUAUCCGAGAAUCGCUCGUCUUUAUUGUUUGAACCUUACAACAGUUGAAAAGUUGCAGGAGUCUAACAGUUAGGAUCCUAAAACUGUUCCUGCAAAUGCUAUAGCAAAUAUUAUUGUGAAGUGCUCUUGUGGGGAUAGUCAUUUUUCAAAAGAUUAUGGACUAUUUAUAACUUAUCCUCUUUGCACUGACCAGAAUUUGGUUACACUAGCCAAUGAAUUUAAUGUACCACAGAAGUUGUUGGAAGACUAUAUCCUGAAGCAAAUCUUGGCAUUAGAUAGGAGAAGUACCACUGCAGGAUAAAUUUCCAGAUCUCAUGUUACUAUCUAGCAACCCUGAAAUUGUUGUGUCUGAUUGUUGGUCCCCCCAGGGUUGGAAUCUAAACUUCAGCAGGCACUUAAAUGAUUGGGAGGUAGAAAGAGUAGUUGACCUGCUAAAAGAAGUGGAUACUUUUGGUGGGACAAUAAUGGAGCCUGAUAGACUUAGAUGGAGACACAGUUCAGAAGGAAGUUUCACUGUAAAUAAGUUAUACAAGAGGGAGAAUAGCAUUAUGCAGGAGGAAGAGCUAAAGAUAUGGAGAAAUGUCUGGAAGAACAUUGCCCCUACAAAAGUGAAAUGUUUCACAUGGCUAGUGGUAAGAAAGGCAUGUCUUACUCAUGAAGUGUUACAAAAGAAGGGGAGAGUUGUGGUGACUAGAUGUUUUUUGUGCAAUGAGACUAGGGAGACAAACAAUCACUUGUUCCUACACUGUAAAUUCACUACCCAAUUGUGGAACAUGUUUUUCAGUCUCACAAAGACAGUGUGGACAAUGCCGGAACAUACAGCCGAUCUAAUGAGUUGUUGGAUGAAAAGAGGGGGAAGUAGAAGUCCGGAAAAAUGGUGGAGGAUAAUACCCUCUUGCAUAUGGUGGUCAGUCUGGAGGGAGAGAAAUGGAAGGUGUUUUGAAGACAAAAUCAGAUCAGUCCAUGAUGUGAAAUGGAACUGCCUGGAGACUUUAUUUUUUUGGUGUAAACAGAACUGCAUAGAGGAAAUAGAGGAGUUAGUAGAAUUUCUAGGAGCUUUGUAAAGCUAGAGUCUACUUGCUUUGUAACUUGUUUCUGAUGGUGGCCAGCAUUCCCAAUGCUGAAGAACACAACAUUACUAAUCCUCAAAAAAAUCUUGGCAGGGGAAGUGGUCUGGUUUUCAUUCCUGGAAAAGAUCAAAAUGGAACUUAUCCACCAUUAAGAACUUCUUAAAGCUCAAAAGGUUGGCCUUUACUGCUACAGUGGCAUCGUUUUCAACUUAUCAAGUCUGAGGUAUCAAAAUCGCUCUGAAUGUGAUUGUAAUCUACUAAACAUUGUGUUAUUGAUAGGAAUCUCAGGUGGAGCAAUAGCUGGCAUACGGGUUGCAGUAGUUCUUGUGGUAGUCCUUUUAGUGUCUUGCCAGUAUCUUACCUUUUAUAGAGGCAGGAAAACGGAAGAAAAUUGUUUCUUAACUUGGAAUCUUACAAACACAGUAGUAAUAAGCAUGUUCCUGGUAAUUUUAUUGAUUUCAAUCUUACUGAUGUAUGUUUAAUUACCCGCCAAACUCUAUGGUGGAAAUUCCUGUUUCUUGUUUCUCAUUUCUCAUUUCUAUUGCCUUAGGAAUGAGGAAUCAUCAUCAUCUUCAUCAUAAUGACUUGUUAGAGAUAUUACUCUAUUUUCCAUUCAUUACAAAAAUAUAAGCUUCCUGCAAUCGAUCCUGGUUGAUGAUAAAAGUAUGUCAACUGUUCUGUGGAAGCAAUGUUUUGGUUCAUCCUUUGAAUAAACCUUGUAAUUUCUUUAAAUGACUCGGGUCAAGCAAAUUUUGAGAAUUCUUCAGAAGGGGGACCUCUUAAUAAAGGUGCUUCUCCAGAGGGUCCAGAGGAUUGCUGUGGAUAAAUCUGUAGAAUUUUCAUAUGAUGAACUCGCUAAUGCCAGUGACAACUUCAGCAUAGCCUACAAGAUUGGCCAAGGUGGUUUUGCUUCUGUUUACUAUGGAGAGUUAAGAGGCGAGAAAGCUGCUAUCAAGAAGAUGGAUAUGCAAUCAACAAAAGAAUUCCUUGCUGAAUUGAAGGUUUUGGCACAUGUUCAUCACUUGAACUUGGUAAAUUCAGUACUCAUACUGAUAUACUAUCUUUUCUUACCUAAUUAUAACCUCUUUGGCACCUGCUCUCAGUCUAUGGGGAAAAAAAUCAACAUGAUGGAUUCAUGGUUGGUUAAACUUGCAUACUUCAGCUAUCUUUGAACUUAGUGGUAAUUGUAAUGCAAUUUUCAAAAGUGGUCUGAGCCACUUAGCUUGAUAAUGUGAUACUUUUCAUAGUGAAAGUCAGGAUUGGUGAUUUAACUCUGCCAUACUUGAGAUUUAGCAGAUCUGCUGAUGAUGAAUUCAUUCACUCCAUAUGUCAUAAAGAAUAUGAGGUAAUAUUUCAUGUGCUGAAACAAUUGCAGGUACGUUUGAUAGGAUAUUGCAUUGAAGGAUCCUUGUUCUUACUUCUUAGUAUACGAAUACGUUGAAAAUGGAAACCUAAGCCACCAUUUGCGCUAUUUUAACUAUGGUUUCGUAUGCUUGCUUUUACACCAGUGACAUCAAAGUGCAGCCAUUAUAUCAUGCUUUCCCAGCAAGCUUUGGCUUUACUAAAAGGAGAGGCACUGAGCUCUAUUUCUGACAUUUCUUUGUUGGAAAUUGUUACUAAAACUCACAGGAGCCCUAAUGAAUAUCAUAAGGACAGCAAAGUGUUCGUACCUUGGAAUUGAUGAUUGUAGACGAGAUGUUGGUACAACAAGUAAUUCUGUAUAAGCCUACCUGAUACAUGAGUUGACUGUUGUUUACAAAUAAGGAAAUUUCUUGGGAUUUUUCUCUUUGCAGUCAUUGUUCAUGAUGUAUUUUACAACCAACCAGUUUGAAGGAAGCAAAUGCACAAUAAGUACUUCUAGUUUUCUCACAAUUCAAACAAACAAAAAAUAUUGGCUUACAUACUUCAUUUCUAAAUUUGUACUCUGUUCUGAUUGAUCAUUUGGUUUGCAAAUAUAAUCUGGAAGGUCAAAGAGGGUCUUGCAUUAAGCAGCUCUACGAAGAAUCCCCCUUGUGCAUCCCAGUGGGUUUGGGAUUCAUCUGAGUUCCCUUAACAAAUUGAAUGCAAGCGAUGGUUCAUUCAAGUUCUCAAGAUACAUUUCAGGUCAUUCAAUAUUUGUGUAUCCACUUAGUUUAGUAUAAUUUUCUGAAUAAGGAAAACUUUUCUUCGGUUAGCAUUUACCAUAUUGGAUGCUUUUUUCUUUACAGUGUUCUUGCUUUCCCUAACCUUCGUAAUGCAGUUAUCAAUUCAAGAUUUGCUUCCGAAGGACCAAUACAUAAAUUACUUAAUAAUUUACUAAUCGAGAAGGCCCUUGCAUCAGUUCUGGCCCAUUUAU